UGCUGUGGCUAACACUACUGUACAUGUUUCAUCACUGCUCUGAAGGUCAAAAGCCUCAUUUUAUUUGGCUGGUUUGAUUUUUUCUUUUUUUUUUCCUAAAGGGGGAAAAAAAAAAAAAAAACCUGUCCUGAAUUAAAUAGCUGUUUUAACAGUAGGCUCUUAGCAUUACACCACAUAGUCAUUUUUCAUGUUCUUGUUUAACAGGCACUGAGGUUCUGGUUUAAAUUAAAUAGCUGCAAAUGAGACAAUUUAUAACCCAUUAGGUUGGGUGGAAAAUUGUUUCUCAAAAGCAAAUAAGUAAUAAAUCUGGUAUCUGCCUAUAACUCACAGUUGAUAAGAACAUGGCCAUUACUCACUAGCAUUAUAUAUGAUUUGGGCUCUGGGUAAUUUGGAAGUGUUAGGUUUGUGUCUUUGUAGCAGUAUUUUUAUUAGAAAAGAGUCCAUUGGCCUUUUACAGGGUAUUAAUCCUUUUGUCACCUACCAUGGAUGCCUUAUGGUUUUUGAGUCUCAUUUAAAAACCUUUUAUUGAUGCAUGACAAGUAUAAUCGGUACCUGCUCAUUUAUUUGUCUGUAGUUUUGCUGUAUUAUUUAAUUAUUUUCCAGCAUUUUUUUCUCCUUACAAUUAUGAUAUUCUUUAGUGUUAAGCCAAUGCAUUGAUCAUAUAUCUGUCCCUGUAAUGAAUUAAUAAACUAUUUUCC
rnacentral:lncRNA from 1 species